UACGUAGGUGGCAAGCGUUGUCCGGAGUUACUGGGCGUAAAGGGCGUGUAGGCGGCCUGGGGCGUCCCAUGUGAAAGGCCACGGCUCAACUGUGGAGGAGCGUGGGAUACGCUCAGGCUAGACGGUGGGAGAGGGUGGUGGAAUUCCAGGAGUAGCGGUGAAAUGCGCAGAUACCGGGAGGAACGCUGAUGGCGAAGGCAGCCACCUGGCCCACUGGUGACGCUGAGGCGAGAAAGCGUGGGGAGCAAACCGG
rnacentral:rRNA from 1 species